UACGUAGGGGGCGAGCGUUGUUCGGAUUUACUGGGCGUAAAGAGCGCGUAGGCGGUUCGAAAAGUCGGAGGUGAAAUCCCUCGGCUCAACCGAGGACCCGCGUCCGAUACUGUCGAACUUGAGUGCAGGAGAGGAGAGCGGAAUUCCCAGUGUAGCGGUGAAAUGCGUAGAUAUUGGGAGGAACACCGGUGGCGAAGGCGGCUCUCUGGACUGUCACUGACGCUGAGGCGCGAAAGCUAGGGGAGCAAACGGGAUUAGAAACCCCGUGUAGUCC
rnacentral:rRNA from 1 species